rnacentral:rRNA from 1 species
GUGAGGAAUAUUGCGCAAUGGAGGCAACUCUGACGCAGCCAUGCCGCGUGCAGGAAGAAGGCGCUACGCGUUGUAAACUGCUUUUAACCGGGAAGAAACCCCAGGACGUGUCCUGGGUUGACGGUACCGGAGGAAUAAGCACCGGCUAACUUCGUGCCAGCAGCCGCGGUAAUACGAAGGGUGCAAGCGUUAUCCGGAUUCAUUGGGUUUAAAGGGUGCGUAGGCGGAGCGUUAAGUCAGUGGUGAAAUCCUGCAGCUUAACUGUAGACUUGCCAUUGAUACUGGCGCUCUUGAGUGCGCUUGAAGUGGGCGGAAUGUGCCGUGUAGCGGUGAAAUGCUUAGAUAUGGCACAGAACACAAAUUGCGAAGGCAGCUCACUAAGGCGAUACUGACGCUGAGGCACGAAAGCGUGGGGAUCGAACAGGAUUAGAAACCCGUGUAGUCC